GGGCGGUUAGCUCAGUUGGUAGAGCGCCUGCCUUACAAGCAGGAUGUCACAGGUUCGAGCCCUGUACUGCCCA
rnacentral:tRNA from 1 species